CAUUGAAACACUGAUUCCCAUACAAACACCGAAGUUAAGCAACAUUGAGUUUGAUCAGUACCUGGAUGGGUGACCACUUGG